rnacentral:lncRNA from 7 species
UCCGUUCACUCCGUCGAGAGAAUUCCAGCACACUCUUCCUUCCAUCGUGCCUCACUUCUCUUCUGAGCUAUUUCGUCUCCCUUCCCUUUCUCUUCUCGACGUCGCUUCAGUCUUGUUGGUGUGGGCUUCCUCGCCUACUCCGCUUCAGCACAAACGCUUCAUCUAGUACCAUUUGGGCUUCAUUUGUUUUGUGAGG